rnacentral:misc_RNA from 1 species
UUAAGUUCAGCGGGUAUCCUACCUGAUCCGAGGUCAACCAUAGAAAAAUAGGGGGGUUUAGCGGCUAGAGUUACAGCACCUAACAAAAGCGAGAUAAAAAUUUACUACGCUCAGAGGACACUAUAAAUCCGCCGUUGGUUUUUAGGAACUACAGGGUAGCUACAAGGUAGCUCCGCUCAGUAGAUUCCCAACACUAAGCU